ACGGAACUGGGCCCUGAGGCCCGGUGGAGUUUGGUGAGGCGGCAGGUGAUAACGAUGAUGAUGAUGCAGAGUCAAACAGCUGUGUCCCAGGUGCUGCGCUAAGGCCUUCAUGUGACUUGUCUCACUCAGUCCUCCCUGCGCCCUGUGUGGUGGACAUCACCAUCCCCACUGAAGGGGAAACAGGGAGAGAGAAGAGAAUUUCUUGGAGCUCGAUUUCUCCCUGCCCCUCAGCAGUUCCCUCCACGCUGAAGGCUGGGUCACACGCUCAGGUCGUAACGAACCACAAAGCUGUUUGGGAGAAAGGGACCACGAGAGGACAUUUGACAAAGAGUGAACAGAUGUCAUUUCGGAGGCAG
rnacentral:lncRNA from 1 species